CCUUUGGGGACAGUCCCUGGGGCUGCCCCUGGACAACAGAGGGAUGGCACCAGUGUGUGGGAUCGUGGCGGGGGGCUCUGUAAGGAGCCCCGGGCCUCUGUGACCACUUCCCACCCGCCCUCCCUGCCAUCCCGCAUCCCGGGCCCGGGUCUCCCUGCCGUCCCGCAUCCCGGGCCCGGGUCUCCCUGCCGUCCCGCAUCCCGGGCCCGGGUCCUGCCCCAAGUGCUUGCUGUGUGCUGCCUCUGGGAGCUGAGCUUAGCUCCUGCCACGUCCAUGUAUGUGUGAGUGUGCACGCAGAUGCAUGUCUGUGUGUGUGCACACAUGGGGCCCGACCACCAGGCCCGUGGCACCCUCCUCACCCCCCCUUGCCUUCAGGUUCUUCGAGGACCUGGAGCAGCGGCACAAGGCCCAGGUGCUGGUCGAGGACAUCAGUGACAUCCUGGAGGAGCACGCCGAGAAGCAUUUCCACCCCUACAUCGCCUACUGCUCCAACGAGGUCUACCAGCAGCGCACGCUGCAGAAGCUGAUCAGCAGCAACGCCGCCUUCCGAGAGGUCCUGAGAGAGAUUGAGAGGCGGCCGGCGUGCGGGGGCCUGCCCAUGCUCUCCUUCCUGAUCCUCCCCAUGCAGCGGGUGACCCGGCUGCCCCUCCUGACGGAUACGCUCUGCCUCAAGACCCAGGGCCACUCUGAGAGGUACAAGGCCGCCAACCGUGCACUGAAGGCCAUCAGCAAGCUGGUGAGGCAGUGCAACGAGGGGGCCCACAGGAUGGAGCGCAUGGAGCAGAUGUACACGCUGCACACACAGCUGGACUUCAGCAAGGUCAAGUCCCUCCCACUGAUUUCCGCCUCCCGGUGGCUGCUGAAGCGUGGAGAGCUGUUCUUAGUGGAAGAAACCGGACUUUUUCGAAAAAUUGCCAGCCGGCCAACGUGCUACCUGUUCCUGUUCAACGAUGUCCUGGUUGUGACCAAGAAGAAGAGGUGGCCUUAGGGCAGGAGGGUGUGGGGAGCCCCACUCCAUGGACACUGGGCCGCUGGCCCUGGGGCAGGAGGGUGCGGGGAGUCGGCCCUGAGCCCCUCUGACCUCAGAGCUGAGGCGUGGCUUCCACUCGGCACAUGCCCUGCGUGACACUCGGGGGCAGGUGGCACUCGCUAUGCAGCCUCCGGCCUCCUCUGCAGACCUGGGUCUGCCUGUGACAGCCACGAGGACUGGAAAGCCAUGGCCUCUGUUCUGUGGGACGCGGGAACUCUUGGAGCCUGUCCAUGGCUGCCUCCCCACCACUGCAGGGGAGCCGGGUGGGAACUGGACGGGAGCCCAGCAGGCACCGGAUAGUAGCUGGGUGGGACCGUCCCACCGACUGCCCGUGUCCCCACAGCGAGGAGAGCUACAUGGUCCAGGACUACGCCCAGAUGAACCACAUCCAGGUGGAGAAGAUAGAGCCGUCUGAGCUCCCUCUGCCCGGGGGUGGCAACCGCAGCUCCUCCGUGCCCCACCCCUUCCAGGUGACCCUGCUUCGCAACAGCGAGGGCCGCCAGGAGCAGCUCCUGCUCUCCUCGGACUCCGCGAGUGACCGGGCACGGUGGAUCGUGGCGCUCACACACAGUGAGAGACAGUGGCAGGGCCUCUCCAGCAAAGGAGACCUGCCCCAGGUGGAGAUCACCAAGGCCUUCUUCGCGAAGCAAGCAGACGAGGUCACACUGCAGCAGGCGGACGUGGUCCUGGUUCUGCAGCAGGAGGAUGGGUGGCUCUAUGGCGAGAGGCUCCGGGACGGAGAGACGGGCUGGUUCCCCGAGGACUUUGCCCGCUUCAUCACCAGCCGUGUGGCCGUGGAGGGCAACGUCCGCAGGAUGGAGCGUCUGCGGGUGGAGACGGAUGUGUAGCCCUGGCGAGGCCAGCCGGCGGCAGCACAGCCUGUCCCCGAUCAGCAAGUGGCCGUGCCUGGCUCCAGAGAGCGUGGGGAGCUGGUCUCAAGGACCCAGCAUGGUUCCCUGGGGCUUCCCAAGAGCCUGUGGCUGUGAUCCCGGGCUCCGGACACCUCACAAAAGGAAGAUCACGUGUCCCCCGAGAGGCACCCCCAGGCAAGCUCCAGGGGGCCACCCCAUGUCCCAGGGAGCCCAGCCUAUUCCCAUUGGCUGGCUGGGCCUCUCUCAGCUGCUGGGCGCCACCUUCCCACUGCACCCAGGGGGCAACUCCACCCGGACUGAUGGGCACAGGAGGCACCAAUAGCGAUUAUCGGGGGCAAUGCGAGGUCUCCUCCUGUGUCCUUCCUACCCCCGAGUGAGGCAAGAAGGGCCCCGAGUGCCCAGGAGUGCCCACGUUCUGAGAGGGGGCCAGCCGGAGGGAGGGGACCUGGCAGGGAGAUUGCGGUUUUGAGGUUUCUAAAUACAUUAAAGUUAUUUCUUAAGAA
rnacentral:sRNA from 1 species